UGUGUGUGUGUGUGUGUGUGUGUGUGUAUGUAUGUAUGUAUGUAUAUGUGUGUGUGUGUGUAUAUAUAUCUAUCUAUAUAUAUAUAUAUAUAUAGAUAGAUAUAUAUACACACACACACACACACACACACACACU